UACAGAGGUCUCAAGCGUUAUUCGGAUUCAUUGGGCGUAAAGGGUGCGUAGGUGGCGUGGUAAGUCGGGUGUGAAAUUUCGGAGCUUAACUCCGAAACUGCAUUCGAUACUGCUGUGCUUGAGGACUGGAGAGGAGACUGGAAUUUACGGUGUAGCAGUGAAAUGCGUAGAGAUCGUAAGGAAGACCAGUGGCGAAGGCGGGUCUCUGGACAGUUCCUGACACUGAGGCACGAAGGCCAGGGGAGCAAACGGG
rnacentral:rRNA from 1 species